rnacentral:rRNA from 1 species
UGGACCUACGGGGGCAGCAGUGAGGAAUAUUGGUCAAUGGGCGGGAGCCUGAACCAGCCAAGCCGCGUGAGGGAAGAAGGUACAGCGUAUCGUAAACCUCUUUUGUCAGGGAACAAAGGCGGGGACUAGUCCCCGGAUGAGGGUACCUGAAGAAAAAGCAUCGGCUAACUCCGUGCCAGCAGCCGCGGUAAUACGGAGGAUGCGAGCGUUAUCCGGAUUUAUUGGGCGUAAAGCGAGCGCAGGUGGUUUAUUAAGUCUGGUGUAAAAGGCAGUGGCUCAACCAUUGUAUGCAUUGGAAACUGGUA